UACAGGGGGUGCAAACGUUGCUCGGAAUUAUUGGGCGUAAAGCGCGCGUAGGCGGCUACCUAAGUCGGAUGUGAAAGCCCCUGGCUUAACCGGGGAAGUGCACCCGAAACUGGGUAGCUAGAGUGCAAAAGAGGGUCGCGGAAUUCCCAGUGUAGAGGUGAAAUUCGUAGAUAUUGGGAGGAACACCGGUGGCGAAGGCGGCGACCUGGGUUGACACUGACGCUGAGGCGCGAAAGCGUGGGGAGCGAACAGG
rnacentral:rRNA from 1 species